rnacentral:rRNA from 1 species
UACGGGGGGAGCAAGCGUUGUUCGGAUUUACUGGGCGUAAAGGGCGCGUAGGCGGCUUGGUAAGUCGGGGGUGAAAGUCAGCGGCUCAACCGCUGGACUGCCUUCGAGACUGCCUGGCUUGAGCAUGGUAGAGGCUGGCGGAAUUCCCGGUGUAGCGGUGGAAUGCGUAGAGAUCGGGAAGAACAUCGGUGGCGAAGGCGGCCAGCUGGGCCAUUGCUGACGCUGAUGCGCGACAGCGUGGGGAGCAAACAGG